rnacentral:rRNA from 1 species
AGUGAACGCUGGCGGUAGGCCUAACACAUGCAAGUCGAACGGCAGCACAGUAAGAGCUUGCUCUUACGGGUGGCGAGUGGCGGACGGGUGAGGAAUACAUCGGAAUCUACUUUUUCGUGGGGGAUAACGUAGGGAAACUUACGCUAAUACCGCAUACGACCUACGGGUGAAAGCAGGGGAUCUCCGGACCUUGCGCGAUUGAAUGAGCCGAUGUCGGACUAGCUAGUUGGCGGGGUAAAGGCCCACCAAGGCGACGAUCCGUAGCUGGUCUGAGAGGAUGAUCAGCCACACUGGAACUGAGACACGGUCCAGACUCCUACGGGAGGCAGCAGUGGGGAAUAUUGGACAAUGGGCGCAAGCCUGAUCCAGCCAUACCGCGUGGGUGAAGAAGGCCUUCGGGUUGUAAAGCCCUUUUGUUGGGAAAGAAAAGCAGCAGGUUAAUACCCCGCUGUUCUGACGGUACCCAAAGAAUAAGCACCGGCUAACUUCGUG